GAAUUUUGUAUCUCUUAAGUACUGUGAGUGCUUCGGAAUACGAAUGUUCGGUUAUUCUUGGAGUUGGCGUAUGUAUGAUGUUAAGGUGGAAGGUAUGAUCAAAAUGACGCUCAGUGAUGAAGUUCAAAUGUUCUCGAAAACAAAAAAAAAACGUAAAGAAACCCUUUGUUUUUUAAAAAUUUCGCACUGACGAUAUCAAAAGGAUGAUCCCCUUGUUCAUUACGAAAAUCAGCAGUUUGUAUAGAGUAAACGAAGUUUGGUAAGAAGAUUUGCAAAUAUUCACAGAUAUCAUGAGAUUCCAGUAUAAUAAGAAAAAUUUGAUAUUAAAAAAUCCAAAAGUCCAAAUACUACCACUGCUGCAAUUAAGAAUAUCGCUUAGUGGAAAGAUAGAAAUAAAAUUAUGAA